GACGAACGCUGGCGGCGUGCUUAACACAUGCAAGUCGAACGGAAAGGCCCUGCUUUUGUGGGGUGCUCGAGUGGCGAACGGGUGAGUAACACGUGAGUAACCUGCCCUUGACUUUGGGAUAACUUCAGGAAACUGGGGCUAAUACCGGAUAGGAGCUCCUGCUGCAUGGUGGGGGUUGGAAAGUUUCGGCGGUUGGGGAUGGACUCGCGGCUUAUCAGCUUGUUGGUGGGGUAGUGGCUUACCAAGGCUUUGACGGGUAGCCGGCCUGGGAGGGUGACCGGCGACAUGGGGACUGAGAUACGGCCCAGACUCGUACGGGAGGCAGCAGGGGGGAAUAUUGCACAAUGGGCGGAAGCCUGAUGCAGCAACGCCGCGUGCGGGAUGACGGCCUUCGGGUUGUAAACCGCUUUCGCCUGUGACGAAGCGUGAGUGACGGUAAUGGGUAAAGAAGCACCGGCUAACUACGUG
rnacentral:rRNA from 1 species